GUGGGGAAUAUUGGGCAAUGGGGGAAACCCUGACCCAGCAACGCCGCGUGAGGGAAGAAGGUUUUCAGAUUGUAAACCUCUGUCCUUGGUGACGAAGGAAGUGACGGUAACCAAGGAGGAAGCCCCGGCUAACUACGUGCCAGCAGCCGCGGUAAUAUGUAGGGGGCAAGCGUUGUCCGGAAUGACUGGGCGUAAAGGGCGUGUAGGCGGCCGAUUAAGUCUGGAGUGAAAGUCCUGCUUUCAAGGUGGGAAUGGCUUUGGAGACUGGUUGGCUUGAGUGCGGAAGAGGUAAGUGGAAUUCCCAGUGUAGCGGUGAAAUGCGUAGAGAUUGGGAGGAACACCAGUGGCGAAGGCGACUUACUGGGCCGUAACUGACGCUGAGGCGCGAAAGCGUGGGGAGCGAACAGGAUUAGAUACCCCUGUAGUCC
rnacentral:rRNA from 1 species